rnacentral:lncRNA from 1 species
CAUUUUUUUAUCCCCAUGUGACUGGUGGAAUAACUAAUUCCGGGAUAGUUAAUCCCGGGAUAACUUGUUUCCCGACCAACUGGAAUUGCUUUUGAUAAAUGAGAAGUCAAAAACACAUACAUAUUACUUGAGCAUGUAGCCCAGUGAGAAUUAUCAUUCACCAAACUACUGUCAUAAGAACAGUUUCUUGAUUCCCUACUUAGUAUUUAACUAGGGGAACAAAAAGAAAAAAAGCACCAAUCCACAAUUCAGGAUCAAUUUUCCACUGCUGAAAGCAAGUAGAACAAUACCAUAUGUACUUCUUGGAAAUGAAGGACCUAAAAGGAUAAUUUUCAUCAUCAUCAUUCUAAGCCACUACAGACAGAAUUUAUAUAAACAUUGGAAAAAAGGACUACCAAUUGUUCAAUGAUUGGAACUUUAUAGUAUAUUAUUUAUGCUGAAAGAUUAGAGCUUUUUUACACAUCAGUCCAAGAACCAGUUCUGAGCCUCAUUGGUCUCAUUGGCCUAAUUCUUGACGAAGACUUGAAAGCUUCAACCAAUGACUUGCAUUUAGCAUUGUCCCCUUUGUUUUCCUCCAAACAUUUCUUCAAUGCUUCAAUAUCAGCCACAGCCACCUUCUUCUCUGCACCAUCACUCUUUUUUUUCUCAUUAUCAUUAUCCAUUUCUUCAAAAUCCAACCAAGAAAAUCCAAAAAAAGAAUCACUACAAAAAUAUGAGAUUGAACCUUAAUAUAUAAUAACCCCACUCUCCCUUUUCUCAUCAUCAUUAUCCAUUUCUUCAAAAUCCAAAAAAGAAUCACUAGAAAUUUGAGAUUGAACUCUAUAUACUAAUACAAAUGAAAAUUGAUCAUGGAAAUUUGAGAGUCAACAAGUUGUGCAGUGAUGAAUUGUGUGACUAAACUGCAAAAGAGGAGCAUACGAUUUUUGUGGCAGCUUCUGUUUUGUUUUGUUUUAGGGAGUUUGGAAAUCUAUUAAAAGUGGAGAAGUUUUAUUGCAUACAAGUUAUAUUAAUUGUGUGAGAUUCUUUUUAUCUCAAAAUUUACGGAAACAAAAUAAAGUUAUUCAUUAAAAGUGGGAC